UAUGCGUCCCCUCUAUCUUCUACUAUUCUUGGCAUUGCAUUUGCACGCCUAUCCUCGUUCUCUUCUUGCCUUUUCCAUUUCCUCUCCAAAACCCAUCACACAAACUGCUGCUGCUUCCUUUCAUCCAUUUUCAUUCUUCUACAACCUUAUUCUAAUUGCUUUGCCAUAAUUCCAAAUUGCCAAUGGGCGCGCACGCACCUAGGCUUGCGCGCAAAACCACUCCAAUAUUGUUACUCGCGUUAUCAUUAGCAGUUGUGGCAUUUGGUGCGACAGAUUCUGCUGCCCUCUUCAAGUUUAAGGAAGCGCUUCAAAAUAACUCGGCUCUCGACAAUUGGAAUUCCUCUGUUAAUCCCUGUGAUUGGAAUCGCCCCAAUUGGGUUGGCAUCCUUUGUUUGAACGGAACCAUUUGGGGUUUAAAACUCGAAGGCAUGGGAUUAACGGGCAUCAUUGAUAUCGAUUCUCUUGUUCCCUUGUCUCACUUUCGGACUUUAAGCCUUAUGAACAAUCAAUUUGUUGGCCCUUUUCCUCAUAUCAACAAACUUGGCAAAUUGAAAGCCUUGUACUUAUCCAAUAACAGGUUCUCAGGACAGAUUCCAGACGAUGCCUUUCAAGGCAUGGGUUCCUUGAAGAGAGUGUUCCUCGCAAAUAAUGAGUUUUCCGGUAACAUUCCUCUCUCGCUUUCUACCUUGCCAAGGCUUAUGGAGUUGAGACUUGAAGGGAAUCAAUUCCAAGGCCGAAUUCCUGAUUUUCGACAAAAGAAUUUGAAGACUGUAAAUCUAGCCAGCAAUUUUUUGGUGGGUCCUAUCCCAGAAGCCCUCAGCAAGAUGAAUCCCGACUCCUUUUCAGGCAAUAAAGACUUGUGCGGGCCGCCUCUUUAUUCAUGCAAUUCACCCUUAAGAGCCCUCAAUAAAAAAGGUAACACCCUGAAAAUCAUAAUCGGUGUAAUCCUCCUACUGAUAAUACUAGCGGCCAUCGCAGUGGCUUUGGCUAUGUUCCACCGAAAAAGGCACCGCCCAGAAUUGGAGAGGAACCCAUCAUUGUCUAUGAACUCCAACAAAAUUGCACCUUCCUACGUAGCAGACCAACAACAAUGUCAAGUGGCGGCAGAGAGUAGCGGGCAAUCGAGGAGGUCUGAUAAGCUGUCGUUCGUGAGGGAUGAUAUUGAAAAGUUUGACUUGAACGAGUUGCUGAGAGCUUCAGCAGAAGUCUUGGGGAGCGGGACAUUUGGGUCUUCAUACAAGGCUGCCGUAGGGAGUGGCCAAGCCUUGGUGGUGAAGAGGUACAGGCAUAUGAACAAUGUAGGCAGAGAAGAGUUUCAUGAGCACAUGAGAAGGCUGGGGAGGUUAAAGCAUCCAAACUUGCUGCGUCUCACAGCCUACUAUUACCGGAGGGAAGAGAAGCUUUUGGUUUAUGAGUUCGUUGAGAAUGGUAGCUUGGCUAGUCACAUUCACGGCAACCGUUCCCUUGAAGGGCAAGGGCUUGAUUGGCAAACCCGGUUGAGAAUUAUCAAAGGAGUGGCCAAAGGAUUGGCAUAUCUAUACAGUGAGCUUCCCAUAUUAGUUCCCCAUGGUCACCUGAAAUCAUCGAAUGUGCUUCUAGAUCCGUCCAUGGAACCUCUGUUGACAGAUUAUACUCUAAGGCCAGUGAUCAACCCCCAACAGGCCCACAAUCUCAUGAUUGCUUACAAAUCACCCGAGUACGCACAAAAUGGCCGCACAUCUAAAAAGACGGACAUUUGGAGCUUCGGAAUACUGAUAUUGGAGAUAUUGACCGGAAAGUUUCCGGAGAACUAUCUAACGCAGGGAUACGAUAGUAGCGCAGAUAUAGCAAGUUGGGUUAAUGAAAUGGUUAAGGAAAAGCGAACAAGCGAAGUGUUCGACAAAGAUAUGAAGGGAGCAAAAGAUAGCAAAGGCGAGAUGAUUAAUCUUUUGAAAAUUGGAUUGAGUUGUUGCGAAGAAGAUGUGGAGAGCAGAUUGGACAUCAAGGAAGUGGUCGAGAAGAUUGAGCAAUUGAGAGAAGGAGACAGCGAUGAAGAUUACACUGGCAAUGAAGGUAUUAAUUUUAGUGUUAGAGGGAACGAGGAUCGUUUUUCCUACACCUUGGAUCGAUGACUGGCAAAGAAAACAAGGAGAAAGUUUCAAAAUAAUAAUAAAAAAAUUCUUUAAAAAAAAAUCUAUAUUAUAAAAAAAGUAUGUCACAGGGAUGACAGGUUUUACUUUCACAGGCUUCCCUCUAGCUCUAAGCUAUAGCAAGAUAUAUAUGGGAAAAUAAUUCUGAGGGGGUUAGCCUGAAGCUGAUCCUGGCAGAGUAUAGUGCGUUUUUUCAAUUUUGAUGUUGGAGAAGGCAAAUGAUACAGAAACCCACUAAUGUUCAUCAUAUAGCUAUUAGCUUAGCGUUAUCUGUCUCGCAUGCACAGAUUUUCCUUUCAUACUUGUGGAUUGGCGUUCCCUUCUUGUUAGAAUUCAAUCAAUUCCUUUCUGGUUG
rnacentral:misc_RNA from 1 species